GCCGACUGCCGCUGAGGAAGGAUCUCUUUCUGGAGGUGUCUCCUCUCUGGACUUUCCUUUGUGAACCUAGAUCCUCAAAGACAGAUGACAAAAUCCUCUCUGGACUACAUGGAUCUGGAGGUUUUACUUGAAACAUCUGCUUAUUCCACAGAAAUAGUGAACUAUCGGUGGUAAAGUGACAGUUGCAGUUAUCAAGUCGUUCAUAUGCUGUAUUUCAAAACUUCUCUUUGACCAAAUCAUAGCUACAAGAAAUAUUGCAAUAAAUAAUGUACUCCGAUGGAAUAUACUGCCCCUGCUGCUACUGAUUUGUUCAUAUUUGCCCUUCUUAUAGUCUAAAGGGCCCAGUAGCAUUUGAGUUUUUCCAUGAAGAAAUAAAUUCAAUAGAUUGGCCAUAGGUAGCAUAUAGCACAUAAUGAGCUAACAGUGAUUAUUGCCUGGCAGAUGAAAAAGCCACAAUCUGCCUUCAGCUAGAAAAGUAAAUGGUUGAACAGCCAAAGGCUAUGUUAAACAAAUAACCAGAAAAGCUACUGGCAAUUAAACCAACUUUUAUCUUUUCAUAAAUGAGGACGGCAAAAUAAAGAUCAGUGGACAAGUGUGUAACAUUGUUUUCCUGUUAUCUCCAAAAGAGUUGGUAAAAAUAUGCUGAAAGACAAGAGUAGUUUAGAAGAGGAAACAUGGUUAAUGUAUAUUCUUCAGAAACAUUCAGUAGCAAAAAUGAAAUUUUGGUAAAAAAUCAAGGUGAUGUGAAAUGGUUCUUUAGUCCAACUAUUGGACAUAUACUAAGAGAAAAUACAGUAACUGUGCAAACUACAGUUUAUUUUUAACUUCAAGUUUGUGAAAGUGGGAGAAGAUCCUACUGUGUAAUAUAACUAUCCUCUAGGAAAGAAGUUAACAAUCAAUCUGCAACAAUAUUUUUCAUGGACUACAACUGAGAAGCUGCCAUCUGAUUUGCAGAAGGUGUUAAAAUCUCGUUGUGCCCUUCAGACAGGGUACCAAACUUAAAAAAAGAUUAAGCAUUUUGGGAGAGGGGCAGAAGGGGAAGCAGAGUAUGGAUGGAUGGACAGAAAGACAGAUGUCUUUUCUUUUGGCCCUUCAUGUAUAUGCUUCCAUGUCAAAUAAAUACUUCCAGUACAAAUCGU